GGGGUUGUAGCUCAGUUGGGAGAGCGCUGCUUUCGCACGGCAGAGGUCAGGGGUUCGACUCCCCUCAGCUCCA
rnacentral:tRNA from 2 species